GACGCUUCAGGUGGCUCUGGGCCGAAAGUUCUAACGACAGACCAGAAGCGGGAAGCAGUGGAAGUCAUGUGUGAGGCCGCAUGUCUGUCGCAACGUCGUGCCUGCAGGCUGGCAGGUU
rfam:Pantoea sp. At-9b, complete genome.